rnacentral:misc_RNA from 1 species
UCUCUUUCCUGCCUUUCGCUCGCUACCACCAUCCAUCGUGAGUCCCUUUUCUUCUGGUUCAACGAUCGUGCACGCGCGCGUCUUGCUCGAAAGGUGGAAGGUGAAAAAAGCGCAGGGUACAAUAGAGGAAGGACGAAUAAAACGCUGUAUAUUGUGUGCAAGCGACCUGAAUUUACAAAAUCUUUUUCUCUUUGCAAUUUCGUUAGAGGCUCGGACAGAAGAGUUGCGAGGAGCGACCUCUGUUACUUUAUUCGCACUCCGAUUGCGAUUUUUUUCCGAAUUUCGUUUACACGUCGUCUGGGGGCUGAAACACUUUGGUGAGUCACUGUAGGGUAACCUAACCUAACAUGGAACAGCUGAUCUGAGAAACAUCGUAAAUAGAGCAACAUGUUUUCCUUGCGACGAAAAUAACUAAUAUGUAUAAUACUACCACUAUAAAAAUUAAUAGACGUUCGUUAAUAAGACGUUGAAGGGUCUUAGAGUGACAGAAAAUGUGAAACGCUGCGAGUUUAAGAAACGCCACACUUAGGUUAUGUAACACCUGCUAUGCAACACCUAGGAAAUUUGUAAAGAAAUCUCAG